GCCGGCAUAGCUCAGUUGGCCAGAGCAGUUGAUUUGUAAUCAUCAGGUCGUGGGUUCGAAUCCCUCUGCCGGCU
rnacentral:tRNA from 1 species